UGAUUCUCGCUUAGGGUGCGAGAGGUCCCGAGUUCAAUUCUCGGAUCACCCCUCUACUUUUAUUCCAAUUUA
rnacentral:tRNA from 1 species